rnacentral:rRNA from 1 species
AACGAACGCUGGCGGCAUGCCUAACACAUGCAAGUCGAACGCGUGUAGCAAUACACGAGUGGCGGACGGGUGAGUAACGCGUGGGAACCUGCCCAAUGGUAGGGAAUAACUGCGGGAAACUGCAGCUAAUACCCUAUGCUCCCUACGGGGGAAAGAUUUAUCGCCAUUGGAGGGGCCCGCGUCGGAUUAGCUAGUUGGCGGGGUAACGGCCCACCAAGGCUACGAUCCGUAGCUGGUCUGAGAGGAUGAUCAGCCACACUGGGACUGAGAUACGGCCCAGACUCCUACGGGAGGCAGCAGUGGGGAAUAUUGGACAAUGGGGGAAACCCUGAUCCAGCAAUGCCGCGUGAGUGAAGAAGGCCUUAGGGUUGUAAAGCUCUUUCGGCGGGACGAUGGUGACGGUACCCGCAGAAGAAGCCCCGG